GACGAACGCUGGCGGCGUGCUUAACACAUGCAAGUCGAACGAAGAGCGAUGGACGCUUGCUUCUAUCAAUCUUAGUGGCGAACGGGUGAGUAACGCGUAAUCAACCUGCCCUUCAGAGGGGGACAACAGUUGGAAACGACUGCUAAUACCGCAUACGACCUAAACUCGGCAUCGAGGAUAGAUGAAAGGUGGCCUCUACAUGUAAGCUAUCACUCAAGGUGGGGAUUGCGUCUGAUUAGCUAGUUGGAGGGGUAACGGCCCACCAAGGCGAUGAGCAGUAGCCGGUCUGAAAGGAUGAGCGGCCACACUGGGACGGAGACACGGCCCAGACUCCUACGGGAGGCAGCAGUGGGGAAUCUUCCGCAAAGGACGAAAGUCUGACGGAGCAACGCCGCGUGAGUGAUGGCGGCCGUCAGGUUGUAAAGCUCUGUUAAUCGGGGCGAAAGGCCUUCUUGCGAAUAGUGGGAAGGAUUGACGGUACCGGAAUAGAAAGCCACGGCUAACUACGUG
rnacentral:rRNA from 1 species